rnacentral:rRNA from 1 species
GACGAACGCUGGCGGCGCGCCUAACACAUGCAAGUCGAACGAGCGAGCGAGAGCUUGCUUUCUUGAGCGAGUGGCGAACGGGUGAGUAACGCGUGAGGAACCUGCCUCAAAGAGGGGGACAACAGUUGGAAACGACUGCUAAUACCGCAUAAGCCCACGGUGCCGCGUGGCACAGGGGGAAAAGGAGCAAUCCGCUUUGAGAUGGCCUCGCGUCCGAUUAGCUAGUUGGUGAGGUCACGGCCCACCAAGGCGAGGAUCGGUAGCCGGACUGAGAGGUUGAACGGCCACAUUGGGACUGAGACACGGCCCAGACUCCUACGGGAGGGAGCAGUGGGGAAUAUUGCACAGUGGGGGAAACGCUGAUGCAGCGACGCCGCGAGGAGGAAGAAGGUCUUGGGAUUGUAAACUCCUGUUGUUGGGGAAGAUAAUGACGGUACCCAACAAGGAAGUGACGGCUAACUACGUG